rnacentral:rRNA from 1 species
UACGAAGGGGGCUAGCGUUGCUCGGAAUCACUGGGCGUAAAGGGUGCGUAGGCGGGUCUUUAAGUCAGGGGUGAAAUCCUGGAGCUCAACUCCAGAACUGCCUUUGAUACUGAAGAUCUUGAGUUCGGGAGAGGUGAGUGGAACUGCGAGUGUAGAGGUGAAAUUCGUAGUUAUUCGCAAGAACACCAGUGGCGAAGGCGGCUCACUGGCCCGAUACUGACGCUGAUGCACGAAAGCGUGGGGAGCAAACAGG